rnacentral:rRNA from 1 species
GAUGAACGCUAGCUACAGGCUUAACACAUGCAAGUCGAGGGGAAACGAUAGAGAAAGCUUGCUUUUUCUAGGCGUCGACCGGCGCACGGGUGAGUAACGCGUAUCCAACCUGCCCAUCACUUGGGGAUAACCUUGCGAAAGUAAGACUAAUACCCAAUGACGUCUCUAGAAGACAUCUGAAGGAGAUUAAAGAUUUAUCGGUGAUGGAUGGGGAUGCGUCUGAUUAGCUUGUUGGCGGGGUAAACGGCCCACCAAGGCGACGAUCAGUAGGGGUUCUGAGAGGAAGGUCCCCCANAUUGGAACUGAGACACGGUCCAAAACUCCUACGGGAGGCAGCAGUGAGGAAUAUUGGUCAAUGGACGAGAGUCUGAACCAGCCAAGUAGCGUGCAGGAUGACGGCCCUAUGGGUUGUAAACUGCUUUUAUAAGGGAUAAAGUGAGUCUCGUGAGACUUUUUGCAUGUACCUUAUGAAUAAGGACCGGCUAAUUCCGUAGCCAGCAGCCG